rnacentral:ncRNA from 1 species
AACUUCCUUGUCUUGGGGAGCAUAAUGCACAGUGAUCGUAAAGUGAGGGCAUUUAUGCUGACACCCACAAGUUAAAUCUUGAUAACCCGCGCCCGGCCGCCGUCAGGUUGUCGAGCGCAAUUUUUAACG